AGGUUCAGUGAGGCUCCCUCCUUCCAGUCCUACAUGCCUGUCCUAUGAGUUCAUUCUCUGUUUACUUUUUUAUUUUUAACUUCGCCAUGUACGCUGAUGUUACGGUUUGAUUCUAAAAUGUUCUCUGUUGCUAAAAUUCCUUUCAAGGGGAAGAUGCAAGCCAAGUCCAGCCUUCUCCUAAAACGAAGGUCCGAACCACAAAAGGAGGCACACCUCUGCCGAAGCUCACUCCGGGGCAACCAAUGAGUGUAUUUGGUUUCCUUACAGAACACAGGGCUCUGAGAUUCCGAUUCAGCUGAAAUGAAAUGAAGGUGAAGCUCGGCGAUGAGACUGGAGCCAGGGUCUGGAGCCAUGGCGGAUGUGUCACCAUUGACGGAUGGUUAUCUCAGCGGAGGCAGAGGCUGGAGGGUCCCUGUGAGCUCCUCGCCUGCACCUCAAGUGGUCUUCCCACCACAUUUUCUGCAUGGAAACAACUUGGUUUCUUUACAGUGAAUAACUGGAGAGUUCUCAGUCUCUCCAUCAGCUGUGGGUUUAGGGAAGAUGAUUUUCAUUUAGCACGUUUAUCUUUGUGUGGAUUCUCUAAGACAGAAAGGACUAGACAGACAACAAGGCACAUGCCUUUAACUCCAACACUUGGGAGACUGAGGCAGGAGGAUCUCGAGUUUGAGGCCAUCCUGGACUUUAUAGUGAGACUCUGUAUUAAAAUUCAGAAAAUCAAAUCAAACCAGAAGAAUGGCAGGGGCUGAGUCAGAGCCACACAGCCCAUGUGACAGACACUAACUCUUUAGACAUGAACCUCACCCGACUAGAUAUUGUUCUUGGUUUGCCCUGCCCUGCCCCUGAUCUGGGGUUGUCCCAGGUCUGGCAUCAUUUGACCCAUUUAGCUUGUUAUUUGGCCCAUAUUGUUGGUUUUGUUUCUUCCAUGGAUACCUACAUUAAAAACUCUCUUUCCAACUCUGUCCCCAAAGCUCCCCUUAGGCAACUUCACGGGGGGGGGGGUGGAGGGGUGGGGGGGGUGGGUUUCUUACUAACCUGGUGGGGGGUGGGGUUCUUACUAACCUUAUCUAACCUUAUUCAGUUGAAGAGCCGGGACUAGACCCAAGGAACUUUAAAAAAAAAAAAAUGUGGCCAGUGUUUGUCUUCAUUUUCUCUAUCUCAAGUCUGAUUUUCCUUGGUGGAUUUUUUUUCUCUAACUCUUUUUCUGUAUGUUGAGAAAAUUCCAGAGACAUUAAACUUUAAAGGUUCUCAAGCUUGUGACCUUAAGAAAACCUCUCCUCCAAAUAACUCAAACAACCCCUGGAAGGACUGUAAUUAGUAGUUCUUGCUUGGGUGGCUUGGUGAUCUCAGGAGACCCGGUACUGUGCCUAGUCACACUUGUCCCUUGGCUCCCAUGAUUCAACUGACAGUCCCACAACUCCCGCCAAAGGCAAUUAGCAGAUUCCAAAUGAAACAGAAGCAAAUCAAGUAGCAUUGCACUCGGCGAAGGCGCCACUCCUGGACAUUAUUUAUUCUCUCACACAGCACAUUAGAAGCGGCGAGAUUCCUUCACAACCUCUACUUAAUUGUCAAGACCUGAAUCUAACAAGCCCUUCAGAGUUUAAUAAACACCGCACGGCCUACUUAAGGAUAUUAUUAGCCUUGUUUUUUUUAGACAUUAAAUGCUAAAAGUCAUUGAGAGUGUCUGCCACACGGUAAGCACUUCGGUAAACAUCCUGCAGGUAUCUCUUAAGAUCCAUGGGGGGGCUGUGUUUCUAGACAAUGUGGAUUGGAAGCAACAGAAACCAAUUCUGGCUAGAGAAGAAAGCUGUACUGAAAUGCUGGUAGAGCGUGUCGCCGACACCCUUCCAGAGGAAGGGCUAGCAAGCAAAAUGCAGCUGUUAGGGAACAGGUUUUGCCUGGUUUUGUAGGUGCCUUAAGGAGGUGGGUUUGGAGAUUAAUAUGGUGCUGUCCCAGGGCCUCCACUGUGCUUUAUUUCUGUACUAAAUGUCACAUUCCUGGGAGGGAGAAUAUGACUGGCCUUUCUGGGGUCACGUGUCUCGUUUCUGGACCAAUCAUGAUGAAGGACCCUGUAGUUGAGGCACGUGACUCCAAGAUUGCCCAUCUUUUUGUAGAAGGUGUUUUCAGGAAGCAGAUUCGCUAUGAGUCGUUUAUCAAAAGGCUAAUAACCAUGUUUGUAUUUCUAUCAGGUGGGAUCCUGGUUCAUUCAAAUGUGGGUAAUGGAAGAGGGGAUUAAGUAGGAAGAGCCUGGGGCCGGAAGUGGUAUGUUGGGAUUACCAUCCCAGGCUUGAAGGAGGCAGUGACUCCCAGGACCUGUGGAGAUUGGCAUAAGGAGUUAGAUGCUUGAAAGUAGCUGUGUUAUUUGAGAGGGUCAUAAGUCUCUCUCUGUAGAUGGGUAGUGUGAGAUCUAGGUGCAUGAACGCCUCCCACCCUCCGGUGUAUUUCUUCCUUUUUCUUUUUUCUUCUUUCUUUUUUUUUUUUUUUUUUUUUUGGAGCUGGGGACCGAACCCAGGGCCUUGCGCUUCCUAGGCAAGCAUUCUACCACUGAGCCAAAUCCCCAACCAGUAAGAUUACAAUCUUUUUUUUUCCUUUUUCUUUUUGUAUUUCUUUAGUGUAACUGGAGGUUCGCAGGCACAGUCACAGAAUUCACACACAGCUCAGAUUUGGAAGACUCUAAGCUGCUGAGCUGCGGCAGAUAGAUUAUCACGUAUGUAUACCAGGCUCAGACUUACUAUGUAUCUGAGGAUGACCUUGGACAAGUCUUCCCACCACCUCCCCAGUGCUGAGAUUACAGGUAUGCACCACUACACCCAAUGUUACGUUGUUCUGGGAAUAGAACACAGGGCUUUGUGCAUCUCAGGUAAGCACUCUACUGAGUUAUGCUUGCACACUGCCUAGACUGUAGUAACUUCUUUUUUUUUUUAAAUUUAGAGAAUACUUUAUUAGUUUUUGUAAUCAAACCCACGUAUAUAAGACCUUACAUAUUUAAUACAGUGUGUUACCCCUGUACAAGUGGAAAAAACUUAAGUUCAACAUUUCUAGACCAAUAUGGCUGUUAAUUUCUGUACAGUGCCAACUCAACACAGUAAACGGGGAUACUUUUUUCCAAAGUUGACAGCACAGGUAAAGUUUCAAAAAAUUCAAAUUAUAUAUCUGUAUAUAUAUAUUUAUAUUUAUAUAAAAAGACCAAUAAUAGCAGUGUGUUAUGCAUCAACAGCAGCAACAGCUUUUCCAGGUUUUGCAGUCAUCUGAACAAAACUGUAGAGACAUCCAGCACACUCCAUUAAAAAAAAAAAAAGUAAAAAAACAAAACCCGAGAAAACAGCACAGUUCUGUUACUCUUGUGGUACCUGGCACCAUUUUUUUUUUAAAUUAGCUUCUCAAUCAUCAUCUGGAAAGAAAACAUUCUGAGCAACAUCAUUAAAAACAGCUCUGAUAAAGCACGGUCACUACUACGUAUCAUAAAGCAGGUACAAGCUAUUUUACAUCCACAGAGGUAUGAUACAGUACUGUCCUACAUCUAUAAUACUAGAGGAUACAAUUUAAAAGGCAUUAUUUGAGACUUGAUUCUACUUUUCCAGCAGAGGGCCCAAAGGAUGGUGUGACACAGCUUUGUAAAGAAACAUACUCUAGACAGGAUUUCCUUUCACUAGUGGCACACUUCUAAGGAUUCAUUCUCUCCAUGAAUGUCAGCUAAAACCGUUAUUAAAAAAAUGAAAUAUCCCUAGAACAAAACCGUAUAACCACCGGAUUCACAUGAAGAUGACCUAGUGGAGACAAGCUGGACCUCACCUUACCAACAAGCUAUCAAAUCUGUUAUGUUAAAACAGUGAGACCUCCAAGGAAGGAGAUGCCAAGUAGUGCUUCAAAGCUUCGGACCACAAUCAAACACAGCAUCCUUUUCAACAGAAGCAGAAGCUCAUCUGAAUAUGCUCAUGGAUGCUGACAUCAACAUUUAAUCAUCUCCUCACUCAUCCAGGAAGAGGGGGAGAUCAGUUACUACUGUAUUUUAUUGUGUUCAACCAAAUCACCAUGUUACAAAAAUAGCAAGCUGCCAUAAUAAAAAAUAAGGCUCCUCUAUCCAGCACCAGAUAGCAUCAUUUUACUUUCAAACCUAGAAAUUGCACACUUGUAUAUAAACCAAUCGAAGAUGAGGAUUGAGAGUUCAUCUUGGUGGAUUUUUCCUUUGAUGAAUAUGAAGUGUCCUUCCUUAUCUUUUUUGAUGACUUUUAAUUGAAAAUUGAUUUUAUUUGAUAUUAGAAUGGCUACUCCAGCUUGCUUCUUCUGACCAUUUGCUUGGAAAGUUGUUUUCCAGCCUUUCACUCUGAGGUAGUGUCUGUCUUUGUCUCUGAGGUGUGUUUCCUGUAGGCAGCAGAAUGCAGGGUCCUCAUUGCGUAUCCAGUUUGUUAAUCUAUGUCUUUUUAUUGGGGAG